rnacentral:tRNA from 1 species
AUUUAAGUAAUUUAAAAAUAAAAAUUUUGAUUUGUGAUAUCAAAUAUGUAAUAUUAUUAUUACCUUAAAUU